rnacentral:rRNA from 1 species
AUUGAACGCUGGCGGCAGGCCUAACACAUGCAAGUCGAGCGGAUGAAGGGAGCUUGCUCCUGGAUUCAGCGGCGGACGGGUGGGUAAUGCCUAGGAAUCUGCCUGGUAGUGGGGGCUAACGUCCGGAAACGGGCGCUAAUACCGCAUACGUCCUGAGGGAGAAAGUGGGGGAUCUUCGGACCUCACGCUAUCAGAUGAGCCUAGGUCGGAUUAGCUAGUUGGUGGGGUAAAGGCCUACCAAGGCGACGAUCCGUAACUGGUCUGAGAGGAUGAUCAGUCACACUGGAACUGAGACACGGUCCAGACUCCUACGGGAGGCAGCAGUGGGGAAUAUUGGACAAUGGGCGAAAGCCUGAUCCAGCCAUGCCGCGUGUGUGAAGAAGGUCUUCGGAUUGUAAAGCACUUUAAGUUGGGAGGAAGGGCAGUAAGUUAAUACCUUGCUGUUUUGACGUUACCAACAGAAUAAGCACCGGCUAACUUCGUG